CAUUUUGUAACUUGUAAUUUUGCAAAAGUUAAGUUAACCCCUCUGCAUAUGAUUUUAAAAUAAAUGGUUAAAUACAAGGUUGUGAUAAGAUAAUGGUGUUUCCUUUCACUGGUCUGUGUCAGUAAAUGUCAUCAGACGUGUGGAGUCAUAACAGACAAAGAAGUGGGAGUGUUGAUGUUUCAUACGUCAGAUAAAAAGAGCCACAAAAUGAUCUCUGGUUAACAGCACUUUUAAAAGUGUCACCAACUUCCAUCUAAACGCUUGACAUCAUUUUCCUGUCUAAAAAUUGUUUUUUUGUUUCUUAAAAUAUAUAACACUUUUUUUUAAUUCAAUAUUGUCACUAUGUAUUCACCUCAACAGGUCAAAAUGUUUCCUGUCUGUGUUUUUGAAGUGGUGCCGUGGUGUCUGAGUGGAAGAUUCUAGACCUAAAUGAGAAGCCCACACUCGGGUGUCAAAACCAGACCGUAUUUAAACACACCUGCAAACAUCAUGACGUGCUGAAAGUUGGAUCCGAUCUUGUUCUUACGGCCCAGGUUGAGCAGGAAGGACAACGGGUAGAUGUUCGCUGCUCUGCCCACAAACACUGCCACCUGGGUCACGCAGGAAGGUUAAGGACUAACAAAAAAUAAAGACACGAGUCAAAGGAUACAAAGGCUCCGAUGAUGAACAGAGGGUUGAACACGUGCGACUGGAAGGAGAAGAGAGUCAGACCCAUGUAGGAGAAGAUGAAGUUCUCUGCCAGGAAGUUGAGCACCUCAAAUAGCUGAUGGAACUGGAGGAACAAGUGAAAAGAUAUGAAAGCGGUCAUGACCCCGGUGGCCACUCCAAGAGCGAAGGACCCGCUGAAGACCCCCAGGAAGAUGCCAAAGGACUUCAACAUGGCCAUG